rnacentral:lncRNA from 1 species
UUCACUUCACUUCAAUUCUAUUCGGUUUUAUUUACAAAUCUUCAUACUUUAUUUAUAGUAUUGAUUAGUUGGCCUCAAUUUUAAUUAAAUUAUGGUGCUGCUGCAGUCCUAUAAUGCAAAGAUAUCAGAUUUUGGACUUGCUAAGCUGGGUCCUUCAGCAAGUCAAUCCCAUUUGUCAACAACUGUAAUGGGCACACCUGGUUAUGCAGCUCCUGAAUAUAUGCAAACAGGUAAGUAAAUAAGUAAUUCAUUGCUUUUUAGUGCCCAAAUAAAAUGAAUUUCAUUGUUGAAGUAGCUACUAGCUACUACUACUAAUUGAAAUUGACAUAUACUAUAUGAUAUGCAGGGCAUCUAUAUGUAAAGAGUGACGUGUAUGGGUUUGGAGUUGUUUUGGUUGAGAUACUGUCAGGCCAACGAGCCAUUGAUACCAACCGUCCAACCGGGUAUCACAGUCUAACGGACUGGGUCAAACCAUUCCUACAUGAUAAAAGAAAAUUGAAGAAGAUUAUGGAUCCUCAUUUGGGAGAUAAAUAUCCAAGCAAAGCUGCAUUUCCUAUAGCUAAGCUUGCUUCAAAAUGUCUUGCACCCGAGCCCAAAAUGCGCCCGUCCAUGAAGGAUGUUUUGGAGAUCUUGCAAGGAAUUCAAGCUUCCACAAACAAAAACGUGGAGGUUAGGGGUGAUCAUUAAUUAAUUCAUUAUUAAUCCUAUUUAUAUGUGAAUUAAUUAAUGGACCUGUAUGAUUAAAAGGCUAUUGGUUGUUCAUUUUGUAUUUUCCUUGAACUCAAGUAGCUAGCUAGGUGUAUUUCUGUGGUGGCUUCAGUGAGUUGUGGAUUUGAUAUACAUGCCUCUAGUUAGUUCAUCAACAUGUUGUAUUGUAUCGUGUACCUAUAGUUCUAUAUUAGAAAUCCCAAAUAUUCAUUAUGGAUCUUGAUCAAACUCAUGGAUUAUUCUUGUAUUGUCACAAAACCAUAUAUAAAUCUCUUAGACACACUCACAAAAUAUAAACUCUACAUUUUGUUUUGAGGAGUGCUAUAUAGUGCGAAAAUCCUCUCCCGAAAUGAUCACGAAAAUGUACGCGUAUGUCAAAUUCAGCUCAUUUGUUAAUUUAAGGCAAAGCUCUUUUUUGGUUUUAAUUAAAACAAUAAUUAAUAAUACAGCAGUGUAUUGUGGAUCCACCGCUUGGGGAUUUUUUGUAACUAAUUAACCAGUUAUCCAUACUUCACUUCAAUUCAACCAAUAGCUUAUAAAAAAUUCAACACAUGCUAUGCUACUACUUCAUCCAAGAUCUGCUAUACAAUUUGCCACUUUCACAUUUAGUCAUGCGUUACUUUUUAGAACCACCUGUUUUGAUGAUAAAUUAUUGGAAUAAUAAAGAGAGGUUUUGUGAUAAGACGGUGAGAAACUAACAAAUGAAGAGAAAUAGAGCACUGCUAUUUGCAGCGAAAGAAAAUAUCACGAAUGGUUUCACGAAGUAUUGCCAUCAUUGGAUUUUGUUUGGUGGAAAACAUGAACGGUGGGAUGAAAAGAAGGGAGUAUGAGACAGUUUCAACAUACUGCUUACAAGUUGUCGUGAUGCAUUCGUGGGCAAAUUUGUCGCUAUAAGUAGCAUUAUAAGUCAUAUAAGGCGCACAACUCAUUCGGGAUGUGUUCGGGAAUUUUUACUCGUGACAUAUAGCAUUUUCCUUUUGUUUUUUUGAGUUUGUGAGUGUGCGUAAGCCUAAGACUUAUGACUAUGGAAGACUUUCUCCAAACUUAUAUAAGGAUUGUGACUCUCUCUUGAUGCACAAUAUAUUACAGAUAACAAUUAUCAAUAAAUCUCUUACAGGCCUAAUCUGUUAGCAGGUCUCUAACACACAUCAACACUUUACUUUGACCUAAUGUGAUAUACGAUUAGAAAAAUGGGGCAGCACGGAUCAUACUCCAAUACUAUUGUUCAAAGGGAUUAUAAACAUUCACCAUUUUAUUGAUCAUUAUUAUGAUCACCACAACCUUCAAAAAGGCACAGAGAAUAUAGUUGAUCAGUAAAAUCCAAAUGAACAAUUUGACCAUGAUUUGGAAAACUAGUGUGCAAAUCUUAAAAGCCAUACCUUUGGGUUUCUUGUGCUGCAUAUUGAUUACGGGGUGAGUUAUCUUCACCAGAAGUCUUUCGAAUGUCAGAAUCUACAAAGUCCCUAUGCGGACUUCCGAUAGUACUGCUUGCAAAUGGACUAUUAGGAGCACUUUUUGCAGAUCCAUUGUCACUUUUAUUAGAAACAGAUCCAUUGCCUACUCUUUUGUCCCUCCCUUACUAGUAGUAGUAUUAGUAGUAGUAAUUCACUAUGUAUGGUAGUACAUCGUACAAAUACUAUACACGCAUGCAUACGCAUAUAUCGAGCAAAUAAUUAGUGGAAGAAGAGGAAAAGCUAUCUUUCAUUCAUUAUUGAACUGGACAAGAAAGAAAAAGCAGCAAAAGUAAUAUAUUAUUAUUAAUUAAAAAAUAAAAAAAAAGAUAAGAGCAAGAAUAAAAAGCACGUAACAAGAAGAAAAGAAAGAAGAAAUAAUGGUUUGAUUGAUUGGAGAGCAAAAGUGGAACUUGUUGAAAUUCAAACAAAUACACCACCCUGCUGCUCUAAUUAACCUCUUCUUCUUCUUCUUAUUGUUGCAAUUAUACAAUUCAAUGGGGAUUUGCUGGAGUUAUCCACCUAAAGAUCCAACUCCAACUGGAACUGGUAACAAUUCAACAACUUGUUCAUUGUACUCAAACAUUCAUAAUUUGAUUAUUAAUUAAUCUCCUUAUUAUUUAUUCUACUAUGUGUAUGUAGUUACACCUGCAGGGAUAUCUCAUUCUCAGACCACAAGUGGAAGCUAUGGUAUUAGUACCACCACCACCACUGCUUCAACAACUACUACUUUCAAUUCUGUUUCUACCACUUCUUCUGGAAAUGGAAGCAGCAGUAAUAUAUCUUCCUCCAUAAGUAGAAGCAACUUCUCCUCAGUUUCUGAUUAUUCAAUUGGUGGCCAGAUCUUACCUACUUCUAAUUUGAGGAUCUUUACUUUUGCUGAAUUAAAGGCUGCUACCAAGAAUUUCAAACCUGAUACACUUCUUGGUGAAGGAGGUUUUGGUAAAGUUUACAAGGGAUGGCUUGAUUCCAAGAAUAGUAGUGGAACUACUGUUGCCGUCAAAAAAUUGAACUCCGAAAGCUACCAAGGACUCGAGGAGUGGAAGGUACGUAAAUGGAUCACCCUAUUCAAUCAUAGACACAGAUUAAUUAAUUUGGUGAUUGAUUAAUGGUUAAUUGGUUUGUAUAUGUGUUUUGUGCAGUCAGAAAUAAAUUUUCUAGGACGGCUUUAUCAUCCUAACCUUGUUAAGCUGUUGGGAUAUUGUUACGAGGAAUCAGAACUUCUUCUUGUCUAUGAAUACUUGCAGAGGGGCAGUUUGGAACAUCAUCUCUUUGGAAGGGGUGCUUCUGUUCACCCACUUCCCUGGGAUCUCAGGCUUAAGAUAGCAAUUGGAGCAGCCGCUGGCCUUUCCUUCUUGCAUACAUCCGAUCGAGAAAUUAUUUACAGAGACUUCAAGGCCUCUAAUAUACUGCUUGAUGGGGUCAGUUCAUUUCAGUUCAAUUCUAUUCUGUUUUAUUUACAAAUCUUCAUAGUUUAUUUAUAGUAUUAAUUUAAUUAAUUGGCCUCAAUUUUAAUUAAAUUAUGCUGCUGCUGCAGUCCUAUAAUGCAAAGAUAUCAGAUUUUGGACUUGCUAAGUUGGGUCCUUCAGCUAGUCAAUCCCACUUAUCAACAACUGUAAUGGGCACACCUGGUUAUGCAGCUCCUGAAUAUAUGCAAACAGGUAAGUAAAUAAGUAAUUCAUUGUUAAAGUAGCUACUAGCUACUACUUCUAUUUGAAUUUGAUUGAAAUUGAAAUUGACAUUAUAUGCUAUGCAGGGCAUCUAUAUGUAAAGAGCG